UCAGAUAUAUAGAAGAGAGUAGCCUGGCAAAAUAUACAAAGUUACUUAUGUUGUUUGGUGAGGACUGUUUUUUCUGAGAUUCCAGAGCAUUGUGUCGCUCGUGUGUGGUGGCUGGAUCCCUGCUGAGACUGUCCCAGAGGGUUAGGGCUGCGUCCAUGCUCACACCGUCUCAGGAAGCCACAAUCGGCUCCCCCACACUUAGUCCAAAGCCCAGCACCAGGGUUUCCUUUCUGGGACGCUGCACUCCAGGCUCCAGAACCAGUCGCUGCUUCCCUAUAGUUUUUCGUUUCCCUGUCAGCCACGUCUGUGUGGAGCCUGUGUGUGCUGCCUGGGUCCCCUCUGAGGUUGGUCCUGAGGGUUGGGCCUAUAUCUGUUCUUCCGUGUCUCAGUAAGCCACAAUCAGCCCCACCACUCUGACACCAGGAAACCACGAGGGCUCAAGGCUGUGGCGUGGGACACUGGCUCUGGAAGUGGUCCCUGCUGCAGCGUGGCUUUUCGCUCCCCCGUCACUCAGGUCAACUCCUUAGUUCUGUGUUUGAUGGUCAGGGUUUGUAGAUUGUCCUUUAUGUAAUCAGUUCACUUGUUUUUUCGAGUCUUUGUUUCAAGAGGGAUAAGCGGAAUCUUCUACCUAGUGAGCCAUCUUGGUCCUGCCCCCGUGUCUGCCUCUUUAUGUGAUUUGAUAUUGACUGUUGUCUCUGAGCCAUCUAUAAGUUAUUGUAUUAGUUUAUUUUAUGCUUGCUUUUUGUAUCCUAGCUUCUUGCUUUGUUUAGUUUUGGUAUACCCAAAUAAGCUGCUUGAGUGCACUAGGUUGAUUAUUUUCACCUUUGAAGCUCUAAUGUACUAUCACCAGAUGGCUAGCACUGUUACCAGGCAUAUGAGCCUAGGAGUUCAUUUAUUUUUCUUGUAUGGAUUCAACUCAGGUGCCCAGGUAGUUGGUCAUAAAGUGUGUGGUACGGGCUCUGUCCUACAGUCUUAAAGGGGCAGGGGUCAUUGGUGUAGGCAGAAGUAUCUGGCUGCAGUAGGGGGUCAGGCUCUGAUCAAGGCAGGGGUCUGACAGCUGUGCUCUGAGUGUCUGUGAGGAAAGUGCAUCCCUGUUCUGUAGAGCACAUGGGUGGGUUCUGUAGAAGGGCAGUGGGCACCCAAUGCUUUUGGUUGUAAGUUCUGGGCGGUACUACUUAUCCUUGGAGCCCUAUCACAGGUGGCUAGGUAUUGUGGGUGGAGCCAGCAGUCCUUAUGCCCCUGAUGUGGGUAGGUGAAGACCCUGUUUAAUAGGCAAAGCAGUGUCAAACAUCAAAUACCCAUCUUUCCACCGUUCAGGUGAAACAGUUGCAGUCUGGCAACAAGGGCCUAUUCUCCUGAAAUGGGCCCACACAGGUCCAUGCUGGGGUGAAAGGUAUUCAAAGCCCAUGGACUGUUUGUGCCUGAACAAGAGCUGCUUCUGUCCUGAGCUCCCCAGCUUAAUUGAGCUGGCAGAUUAUCUUUCCCCCAGUUGUGAACUUAUACCUUCUUCAAGGAUGGAAAAAUGGCUCAGAGUGGUACCAGGGCCUAUCUCAGGCCCAGGGAAGUUGACAGCCACUGAAGCCGGCUUGGGGGCUGGGGGCGUGGUAAAAUAAACACAAGUAAUUAGCUUUUGCUGAGAGUGCCGUUCUUCUCUUGUUCUGGAGGUGUGAGUAGUCUGUGCAACUUGCUGUCCUUCCCUGAGCUAAACGCCUGUGGAACGCCACUGCCAGCCCCACUGCAGUCGCUCCAGGGAACGGUGCCUGAGGGUUCCUGGCUAUUCAGGUCCAGUAACUCCUCUCCACUUCUGAAUAGUCUCUCCCUCCCCCUGCCGCUGAGUCCAUUUUCUAACUUUACCUUUGAUGUUCAGGGCUCCUAGCUUCUCAUAAAUAUAAUCGCUUCACUUGUUUUUUCUGGUCUUUUUUGUAAGAGGGAUCACUGGUGGCGUCUCAAUACUCAAAACUUCAUCAUUUCUUCCUUUCACUUUAGCUACUCGACAUUCAAGAGCAACGUUCAGAGUCUCUUCCGACAUCCGUUUUGGUCUUUUCUUUCUUUCCUGUCUUUUAAAGGAUCUCUUGCUUUCUUCAUGUGUGAUGUCCUUGAUGUCAUUCCACAACUCGUCUGGUCUUCAGUCGUUAGUGUUCAACACGUAAAAUGUGUUCUUGAGGUGGUCUCUAAAUACAGGUGAGAUAUACUCAAGGUCAUAUUUUGGCCCCUUUUGACUUAUUCUAAUUUUCUUCAGUUUCAACUUGAACUCCCAUAUGAGCAAUUGACAGUCUGUUUCACAAUUGAUCCCUGGCCUUGUUGUGACUGAUGAUAUGAGUUUUCCCAUCUUCUCUUUCCACAGAUGUAGUCAGUUUGAUUCCUGUGUAUUCCAUCUGGUAAAGUCCACGUGUAUAGCUGCCGUUUAUGUUGGUGAAAAAAAAUAUUUGCAGUGGAUGAGUCACUGGUCUUGCAGAAUUCUUUCAUGAGAUUUCUGGUGUCAUUUAUUUCAUCGAUGCUGUAUUUUCCAACUACUUUUCCUUCUUUGUUUCCAACUUUAACAUUCUAAUGACCAGUAAUUAUCAAUGCAUCUUGAUUGCAUGUUUGAUCAAUUUCAGGCUGCAGAAGUUGUUUAAAAUCUUCAAUUUCUUUAUCUUUGGCAUUAGUGGUUGGUGCAUAAAUUUGAAUAGUCGUAUAAACUAGUCUUCCUUGUAAGUGUAUGGAUUUUAGCCUAUUAGUGACAACAUUGUACUUCAGGCUAGAUCUUGAAAUGUUCUCUUUGAUGAUAUGUAACGUCAUUCUUUUGACUCUAGUGGAAUAUCCAUGUUUGUAAGACUGCUCACAGACUGUUUCACCAGAGAGUUUUCUGGUACUGCAACAUCUACCACUAAUCUCUGUGAUCCCUGUGAAUUGGCAAAAUAAGAAUAGUGCUAUAGAUUUCUUCCAAAUACAGAAAACAUAAGUAUGAAAAUGUUCUUGCUGUUGAUUAUAUUCUUUACCAAUCUGUUUGUGUGGGAUUUUUGGUACUUCACUUGAAAAAUGAGUCCAAGGUACUGUGAUGUGAUUGUUUACUUUGUGUGGCCUUUCUAGCCAUGGUCUUAUAACAUCCACCCUGGUGCUUGGGCAGGACUGUGUGAUAGGGUAAUUGUGGCUCACCAAGGGGAUUGUUUAUUUUCCCUUCAAAGAGAACCAGUUCCAGAGCAAAGAGGAGGAUUCAACUCCCAUCAAGGAAGAACAGCCAAGAGCCGAGCGUAUAUUAUGGACCUGAGAUCCCUGCACUGAGAAGCUCCUAGAAGCAAGAGACUGAGAUAGAGAGAGGAAGCUGUAACCCUGAAGAUGCUUAAAUACAGACCAGAAGAGGAGUUUGGGGCUUGACACCUGACAUCUUAACACCAGUUCCUGUUUCUUGAGGAAGGAAGAGGUAAAAUAAAUCAGCGUUUACUGUUUCCUUCUCCAUCCCCGGAAGUCCUGAUGAAGACCCUCUCAGGAGGGAAGAGGUAAAAAAGAAGGCAGUGUCUACUAUGUCCUUUGCCAUGUGUGUCAGGAAAUCCUCAUGAAGAGCCUCUCAGCUUCAACUUGAACGUGAAUAUGAGCAACUGAUCAUCUGUUCUGCAGUCAGCCCCUGGCCUGCUUCUGACUCAUGAUAUUGACCUUCUCCAUCAUCACCUUCCACAAAUUUGAUUCCUGUCUAUUCUGCCUGGAAUGGUUCAUGAGUAUAGUCACCGUUUAUGUUCCUGAUGAAAGCUUUUCCAAGCAUGAUGAGCCUCUCCUGGGACAGGUCUCUCCUGAAAAUAUGUCCAAGGCACGUGAGACGAAGUCUCGCCAUCCUUGCUUCUAAGACCAGCUUCUCAGAUUAUUUGCUCAGCAUACAGAUUGACUUCAACUUGAACGUGAAUAUGAGCAACUGAUCAUCUGUUCUGCAGUCAGCCCCUGGCCUGCUUCUGACUCAUGAUAUUGACCUUCUCCAUCAUCACCUUCCACAAAUUUGAUUCCUGUCUAUUCUGCCUGGAAUGGUUCAUGAGUAUAGUCACCGUUUAUGUUCCUGAUGAAAGCUUAAAUACAGACCAGAAGAGGAGUUUGGGGCUUGACACCUGACAUCUUAACACCAGUUCCUGUUUCUUGAGGAAGGAAGAGGUAAAAUAAAUCAGCGUUUACUGUUUCCUUCUCCAUCCCCGGAAGUCCUGAUGAAGACCCUCUCAGCUUCAACUUGAACGUGAAUAUGAGCAACUGAUCAUCUGUUCUGCAGUCAGCCCCUGGCCUGAUUCUGACUCAUGGUAUUGACCUUCUCCAUCAUCACCUUCCACAAAUUUGAUUCCUGUCUAUUCUGCCUGGAAUGGUUCAUGAGUAUAGUCACCGUUUAUGUUCCUGAUGAAAGCAGGAGACGGAUUCGUGGAGAGAGGCGGAUUCCAUGUGUGCUGGCAAAGUGUGUGCUGAGAUGAUGAGUCGCUGGAGACCAGGGUGGACUCUUCAGACCCAGGAUAGGCCUCUGGCAGCAGGAGAAGGAUUCGUGGAGAGAGGCGGAUUCCAUGUGUGCUGGCAAAGUGUGUGCUGAGAUGAUGAGUCGCUGGAGACCAGGGUGGACUCUUCAGACCCAGGAUAGGCCUCUGGCAGGUAUGUGUCAAUGUUUUCUGCCCAUGGCACUCAGCCGGGUAUUUGAAUCCAAUGUUAUCAGCGGAAUUAGUAGUCUCCGGAGAGGCUGCCACAUGUCAACAAGAUUCACCCAGCCAAGGUUCACCCGUGAUGUAGCUCCCCAAUCAAUCACUACUCCCUAGUCCUUCCAGAUAGACUACCAGAUCUUCUGUGCCCAUGGGCAACCAGUACAGCCAGAGGCCUUCCCCCUUUGCUCUUUCGUCUCUAGACACUCUGUCAGGCACUCCAAGCUGCGAAGUGACUCAGGGGGAGAAGGAAGAGAUUUCCGAGAAGGAACACAUACAGAGAGAGAGGCAAGAGAUGCUGAGUGGGGAUGUCUUGCGUACUGAUAUCCUGAGGAAAGUGGGAAAAUUGGACCCUGGCCUGCUGUGCCAAUGCCCUGAAGCAGUCCGCACCAGGGGCUCCCUUGUGCCUGCGUAGCCUUUCCCAGGGUGUGCUCAAAUCCUGUGGCCACUAGGUGUCUUGGGUCACAAUGGAGGGCCCUGUGUCAUCUGCCUGGCGGGCUGGAUCUCUGCCAUUGGCUGAGUCUUGUCGCCAGGCCCAUCAUAAGAUGCGCCCACUCUGCCGGUGGGGAGACUGUCUCCAUGGUGAUGGCAAAGAAGCCUUAGUCCCGCCCACCUGGCCUUGACUUCACCUACCCGGCCUGCUGACCCUCACUCAGACCUCUGUGUUGAUCAAAAUGAAUGUCCGCCAGU